AUCGAUGAAGAACGCAGCGAAAUGCGAUAAGUAAUGUGAAUUGCAGAAUUCAGUGAAUCAUCGAAUCUUUGAACGCACAUUGCGCCCCCUGGUAUUCCGGGGGGCACACCUGUUCGAGCGCCAUUUCUACCCUAGAGCCCUGCUCUGUGAUGGGCCCCGUCCUCGCGGACGGGCCCGAAACCCGUGGGCGCCGUCGUCCGGCCCUGAGCGUAGCAAGAGAAAUCCCUCGCUCGGAGUGUCUGUCGGUGGCCGCCCCGAACCAUUUUUACAAGGUUGGCCUCGGAUCAGGUGGGGAUACCCGCUGAACUUAAGCAUAUCAAUAAGCGGAGGAAAAGAAACCAACAGGGAUUGCCUCAGUAACGGCGAGUGAAGCGGCAACAGCUCAAAUUUGAAAUCUGGCUCACGCCCGAGUUGUAAUUUGUAGAGGAUGUUUCGGGUGAAGCCGCGGUCCAAGUCCCUUGGAACAGGACGUCAUAGAGGGUGAGAACCCCGUACCUGGCCGCCGGUGCCCCCCGCUGUGAAACUCCUUCGACGAGUCGAGUUGUUUGGGAAUGCAGCUCAAAAUGGGUGGUAAAUUUCAUCUAAAGCUAAAUAUUGGCCAGAGACCGAUAGCGCACAAGUAGAGUGAUCGAAAGAUGAAAAGCACUUUGGAAAGAGAGUUAAACAGUACGUGAAAUUGUUGAAAGGGAAGCGCUUGCAACCAGACUUGCAUGCAGUUGAUCAUCCGAUGUUUUCACCGGUGCACUCGAUUGUAUUCAGGCCAGCAUCGGUUUAGGUGGUUGGAAAAAAGCCCUAGGAAUGUAGCUUCUCUCGGGGAGUGUUAUAGUCUGGGGUAUAAUGCAGCCUACCUGGACCGAGGACCGCGCUUCGGCUAGGAUGCUGGCGUAAUGGUUGUAAGCGACCCGUCUUGAAACACGG
rnacentral:rRNA from 1 species